rnacentral:rRNA from 1 species
GGACGAACGCUGGCGGCGUGCUUAACACAUGCAAGUGGAGCGACGAACGGGGCUUGCCCCGGGCAGAGCCGCGAACGGGUGAGUAACACGUGGGUUACCUACCCCCAAUGACCGGGACAACCCGAGGAAACUCGGGCUAAUACCGGAUGUGGUCUUCGGACGAAAGGAAGCUUCGGGCCUCCGCAUUGGGAUGGGCCCGCGGCGGCAUUAGCUUGUUGGUGGGGUAACGGCCUACCAAGGCGACGAUGCGUAGCUGGUCUGAGAGGACGAUCAGCCACACUGGGACUGAGACACGGCCCAGACUCCUACGGGAGGCAGCAGUGGGGAAUCUUGCGCAAUGCGCGAAAGCGUGACGCAGCAACGCCCGCGUGGGGGAAGAAGGCCUUCGGGUUGUAAACCUCUUUCAGUUUGGGACGGAAGCUCAGCGGGUUAAUAGCCCGAUGGAGUGACGGUACCUUCAGAAGAAGCCCCGGCUAACUACGUGCCAGCAGCCGC